UACGUAGGGGGCUAGCGUUGUCCGGAAUUAUUGGGCGUAAAGCGCGUGUAGGCGGUUCGAUUAGUCUGCUGUGAAAGUCGGGGGCUCAACCCUCGAAUGCCGGUGGAUACUGUCGGACUAGAGUACGGAAGAGGCGAGUGGAAUUCCUGGUGUAGCGGUGAAAUGCGCAGAUAUCAGGAGGAACACCAAUUGCGAAGGCAGCUCGCUGGGACGUUACUGACGCUGAGACGCGAAAGCGUGGGGAGCGAACAGG
rnacentral:rRNA from 1 species